GCGCAGCAGUCGCGAAUACUUUACAAUGUGCGAAAGCACGAUAAGGGAACUCUGAGUGCCUCCUAAGGAGGCUGUUCUGAUGUCUAAAAAGCAACAGAAGUAAGGGCUGGGUAAGACCGGUGCCAGCCGCCGCGGUAACACCGGCAGCCCAAGUGGUAGCCACGUUUAUUGGGUCUAAAGCGUUCGUAGCCGGCCAGGUAAGUUCCUUGGUAAAUUUAGCCGCUUAACGGUUAAGCUUUCAGGGAAUACUGCUUGGCUUGGGACUGGGAGAGGUCAGAGGUACUCCGGGGGUAGGGGUGAAAUCUAUUAAUCCCUGGGGACCACCGGUAGCGAAGGCGUCUGACCAGACCAGGUCCGACGGUGAGGGACGAAGGCUAGGGGCGCGAACCGGAUUAGAUCCCCUGUA
rnacentral:rRNA from 1 species